GGAAUAUUGGGCAAUGGAUGCAAGUCUGACCCAGCCAUGCCGCGUGCCGGAUGAAGGCCCUCAGGGUUGUAAACGGCUUUUAUUCGGGAAGAAGAGCGGGGAUGCGUCCCUGUGUGACGGUACCGAAUGAAUAAGCACCGGCUAACUCCGUGCCAGCAGCCGCGGUAAUACGGAGGGUGCGAGCGUUGUCCGGAUUUAUUGGGUUUAAAGGGUGCGUAGGUGGCUGAUUAAGUCAGUGGUGAAAUACAGCCGCUCAACGGUUGAGGUGCCAUUGAUACUGAUUAGCUUGAAAUAAUUGGAGGCUGCCGGAAUGGAUGGUGUAGCGGUGAAAUGCAUAGAUAUCAUCCAGAACACCGAUUGCGAAGGCAGGUGGCUACGAUUUAUUUGACACUGAGGCACGAAAGCAUGGGGAGCAAACAGGAUUAGAUACCCCAG
rnacentral:rRNA from 1 species